CCGGUGUUGGGCAUAAUCAUCAGAGCUUCGUCUUUUUGGGCAUAAUCAUUAGAGGUAAAGUUAUCAUAUAUCGGCUCUGGCGACGGAGACCUAUCCCCUUCCAGACGAUCAUCUAAAGGCAAACCGGAAGACAACAUCCUACUAAUCUCAAGAUGCUUAAGUACUAUUCAAAGCUUGAAUUUCAAGAUCGAAUUCAAUACCUCCCAUGAACUCCGGCAGUUGAAUCACCGACUUCGGCUCCUCAUCCGGCCAGCGCGACUUCCUCCUCCGUGCACCCCCGCUCUGGUUGCCCGAUUUAACGAGAGGGAUCAUGUUUUAUAACUUAUGCACAACCAAAGGUGAUUGGGGUCGCAAAGUGUAGAAGAACUACUAGAGCUACGAAAGAUUACGGCGAUUAUUUCUCCCUCCAAGCUCGACCAAUGGACAAACCAAGACCAUAGAGUCGUCGGCUAUGGAAAGACGAGCCGGGUGGGACCGGUGCGCCACCACGAUGUCGCCUGACAGAGGGGAGAUACAGACGGGUCACCUUUUUAGCUUCAUGGGUCGAAAGGAAUUUGUAAUGUUGAUUAGUGGGUUUUCUCUUAUUCAUGUAGCAGAAUUUUGUGUUAUGGUUGCUUUCGUCACAGAAAUCUAAUGGAAUAAGCACCCAGGAGUAGA
rnacentral:lncRNA from 1 species